rnacentral:tRNA from 1 species
GGCUCUGUGGCGCAACGGAUCGCGCGUUGGACUUCUAAUUCAAAGGUUGUGGGUUCGAGUCCCACCGGAGUCA